UAUCUAUAUAAUUAACAACCUUGUAUAAGUUCAAGAAUACGGCUUGAACGUUUCUACCAGCUACCAUAAAUAGCUUGUCUACAAGGAUUAGAAAGUGUCAU
rnacentral:ncRNA from 1 species